rnacentral:lncRNA from 1 species
GGAAGGAGGAGGUGAGCGUGGUGAGUGUGUGUCUCUGUGUGCGAUUUUAGGUGGUGUAUGAACUCUGCCUUAACUAAUUCUAUUCUAAUCCUGAUGUCAUCAAGAAGAAAGUCUCCUCUUAGAGCAAGAAGGUCUCACCUUCUACUGAGAACUCGCGUGGUGGUUCCUGCUUCUGCUCAGCGAGGUGAGGAUGUUCCCACCCACUACUGGACUGUCAAAUCUCUGACCGCCUCUUCUCACCGUUGAACUCCCUCAGAGCCUGCCUGGGCUAUGCUACCUUUAUAUGGUGGUGGGCUGAGGGCUGGUGAGCAAUCCUUGGAUCAGGAAAUGAAUCAGGUUCCACAUCUCCUCUUACGUGUCCCAAACAAGUAGAUACCUAUGGAGCCAGUGUACCUGCCUGAACGUGUUUGGCAAUGAGGAAGCCUGAAUCUUCACAUUCAAGGACUAUAUUUGGCACCAGGUCAUAUGCUUUUAAUGACUCUACUAAAACACCUGACCCAGGGGUCAACCCAAAAUGAGAGAGUUGUUGUUUAUCUCCUUCUAAAUGCACCU